rnacentral:lncRNA from 1 species
AUUGGGCACCUACAUGCUUGUCUUGGUGUCAGUCACACCAAUGACUCGAGACCAGUCACUCUCCCAAAGAGAAGACAUAACACAUACUGAUCUUAACGGACUGUCAAUGCCCAAUUGGUAAUCCUAUGAUCAGGAACGUUUAGGAUAUGUAUACGAAAGAGAAUGGUCUCAUGAAUCUAACUUCUUUAGAUCGCAUUCUCCCAAUUACAUAUUCCUUGGACUUAUCGUUUAAGUGUAUAACAUUUAUAUGAGACAGCUUCAAACAAUAAUCUUUGCCCUUUAAAUUAAACUAUAUUAGUUUAACAUGUGAAAUGUCCGUAAAGUAUCAUCAUAUGAUUGGUUUUAGGGCACAUUUCCAACAAUCUCCCACUUGCACUAGAGCCAAUCAGUUUGGUCAUCAAUGAUGAUACCUUUUCUGU